ACAAGGUCUCUUUAGCACUGAGAAUGGUCACAGCUCCAGCCCUGCUGUCUGUGUACCCGAACACCAGGAAAAGAUGACACAAACUACCUGUAAGCACCGAGGUGGCCUGACUGAUCCUCUCUUGCAUGAGCAAUUGCUGCACAAAUUGCUUUUGCCACUCUCUUUGUGGGAGAAACGGUUAACGCUUGUCAAACGGUUCCUCGCUGCUACUGAGUGAGCCAGCUUUGUAUGUCCCGACAGUGCCGCUUAGCCCGUGGAUCGCUCUCCUGUUUCUUAGUAGCUUGCUGUUGAAGGCCCUUAUAGGAUGCUAUAUGGUUUUCCUUUGUCUUAUUCCUCGUGCUCACUCAUUUAAUACUGAGUCUCCUCUUCAGGUGGUGUGAGGAGCAGCUGCCUCCUCCCCGGGGCAGCAGGGCUGUGUGCGCCAUGGCACUCACGACCAGGGCGGCUUUCCUCCUGUCUCCAGCUGGACUUAGACGUACACCAUUGCUGUCUUGUCUGGUUGGAUACAAUAAGCACAUAGCCAUCUAAAUCUGCUUGCGUACAGUCUGCAUCUGAACAGAGGAUGGUUACUGCUUCUUUGUCAAGGCACACGGCUCACGGCUCCACUUGAAGAGUCCCUACACGGAAAACAUGCCAUAGCAAGUAGCAGAGGAGCCAAAAAUACUGCAACUCAAAUUUGCAAAUAGACCACAUUUGACAUUAAGCCAGACAAAAUCUCUUCAGAGCUCCUCAGCUACACAUCCUGUUGAUUACACUGUGAGUUAAUUACAUGCAAGAGUACUGGGGCAGAACGUUGUCCUUGAAAACCUCAAGAUGUUGUCAAGAAAAGACAUGCAAGCAAUUGUCUGAUACCUGGAGAACUUAACUGGCUUCUGUCUCAUCUUGAACCUGGGUCUGUGUUUGUGCCAAGUACUCUGAGGAUUGUGUUUUUAAGCAUUUCAUUGAUGUUAACGUGGCUUAAUAUUCAUCAGAGGACCUCUUUUUAAAAGUCUCACCAUGAAUUCCACAAAACCACAAACGAAGUUCUGUGGUAAAAUUGUAAAAGAGGGUUGGCAAGACAAACAGGGUUACCACUUUUUCUUCAUGGCCCCACGUUUUCCUGGUUGCUGUGUGUGACAAGCACCUUUGUUAUGGAUGAGUGGUCCUGCAUGGCAGUGAUGGGAGGACGAGAUAAGAAGCAUGGCUUAGAGAAAAAAGACACCCAUUUUUAUUUUAUUUUUUAACAGCAUGCUAUUGAAGGAAACAAAUGCAAAAGCAGAGAAGAAAAAAGCUAGCACAGUAAGAUAUCUGCUAUUUUCUCUGAACUGCAAACAGGCAUAAAGACCCCUAAGCCAGUAAGUUUUCUAUUCUUAUUUUUUUUAGACCAUGCCAUGACGCCGUGACAAGACUGUGCUUGGAUAUAAUGGACACUGAGGUAUCAGGGAAAAAGGCAUUUGUGCCCUGAGUACCGUCUUAUGAAAGCAACAGGUGUAAACUAGCUGAGGUUGAUUUAGAUAGAGAGUAUGUCCCAGGCAGCACCGCUAUUUGAAUGCAAAGAAAUAGAUCAGGAGGGGAGAGAAAGAGGAGGGAAGUCAGGUAGGUGAAUAAAGAAUACACAUGGAAAUGGAGGAAAAGGGAUGAGAAUCUAAAAAUGGCAGGAAAAUAUCAACAGGGCAAGGAGUAGAAGGAAGGAGAAAAAAAAAGUAUUAAUUUUGAAAAGGGCGGAGGAAAAAGGAGAAAAUAUUUUUGUUUUCUUUUAUUAAAAGUUUGUUGUGAAAGAUAUAUUUACAUGUAGUUGAAAUUAUUUUCAGUGUUGUGUGUGCAUAGAUUUGUGGAUGCUUGCUUAUACCUUAGAUUGCCUAAAUUUGAUUUCUCUAGAGUUCUUGCAUGAGGUGGUUGUGUGCAAUAUUUUAUUAUAUUUUAAGUGUAUUUGAAAGAAAAAUAUUGCUUUUCCAGCGUGAAGUGCAUAGAAGGGGGCUUUGGUUGCAAUCCAUGUAAUUACAGGAUGGAAAAUUCCUCUUGGCGGUGGUGCUGCCAUUCUUCGGUUCCUAUCAUUUACAUUUCAGGCGGUCCUGGAAAUUGUUGCUAGUUUCAUACUCAUUUAAGAAAGUAAGAGCCCCAAACAUAGUCUUUAGUCACCUUUAUUCAUCCUUGAAUUCUAUUCAAAAUUUGCUUUGUGGCAUCACUCAAUACACGUUUACUUAUAUGAACCUCUUUUCCCUCUUUUUCCCACCUUAUAUGAACCUCUUUUCCCACUGACUAUUUUUUAGUGUCCUGGGGUGGCCUUUGUGAAUUUAUCUCGGGGUAAAAUGGACAAGGCUUUUCUUCAUUCUGUUCUUAUUUCAGAGAGAUCACUGAUCUGGGGCAAAAACGGUUGUGGAUGACAAAAGAGAUAGAGAAAAAAUGAUGAAGACCUAUCCGUAUUGCUGAACCAAUUUAAUUGUGAUCUCGGUGAUCUGAAGACUCUGUUUGUGCUGAGCUGAGUCAUUUGCUGACAUUGACUCUUGUUGCAGCAACUCUAAGUAAUUUAAAAUGUCAAAAAAUGCAAGUGAAUAUAUAGAUAAAAUUGAGAUUUUUAAACUUUUGACCCCGUUCACUUUUUUUAAAAAAAAAAAACAAACCAGAAUUAAAACACAUCUUGUUAAAACAUUGAUUUUUGAAUUGGUUUUCAUUUGUAGCCUUUG